rnacentral:rRNA from 1 species
UACGAAGGGGGCUAGCGUUGCUCGGAAUCACUGGGCGUAAAGGGCGCGUAGGCGGCCGAUUAAGUCGGGGGUGAAAGCCUGUGGCUCAACCACAGAAUUGCCUUCGAUACUGGUUGGCUUGAGACCGGAAGAGGACAGCGGAACUGCGAGUGUAGAGGUGAAAUUCGUAGAUAUUCGCAAGAACACCAGUGGCGAAGGCGGCUGUCUGGUCCGGUUCUGACGCUGAGGCGCGAAAGCGUGGGGAGCAAACAGA